rnacentral:rRNA from 1 species
AGAGUUUGAUCCUGGCUCAGGAUGAACGCUGGCGGCGUGCCUAACACAUGCAAGUCGAGCGCGAUUAGUUGGACUGGAGACUUCGGUCAAAGGGAAGACUAUGAGCAACCUGCCCUGUACAGGGGGAUAGCCACUGGAAACGGUGAUUAAUACCCCAUAAACCCACAAGACCGCAUGGUCAAAUGGGCAAAGUUCCAACGGUACAGGAUGGGCUCGCGUCUGAUUAGCUAGUUGGUGAGGUAACGGCUCACCAAGGCGACGAUCAGUAGCCGACCUGAGAGGGUGAACGGCCACACUGGAACUGAGACACGGUCCAGACUCCUACGGGAGGCAGCAGUGGGGAAUAUUGCACAAUGGGCGCAAGCCUGAUGCAGCAACGCCGCGUGAGUGAUGAAGGCCUUCGGGUCAAACUCUUGUCCUAAGGGAAGAAGAAGUGACGGUACCUUAGGAGGAAGCCCCGGCUAACUACGUGCCAGCAGCCGCGGUAAUACGUAGGGGGCAAGCGUUAUCCGGAAUCACUGGGCGUAAAGGGCGUGUAGGCGGCCAAUUAAGCUAGGUGUAAAAUGUUAUGGCUCAACCAUAGUAAGCCUUGCGAACUGCAAGACUUGAGUGCAGGAGAGGAAAGUGGAAUUCCUAGUGUAGCGGUGAAAUGCGUAGAUAUUAGGAGGAACACCAGUGGCGAAGGCGACUUACUGGACUGUAACUGACGCUGAGGCACGAAAGCGUGGGGAGCAAACAGGAUUAGAUACCCUGGUAGUCCACGCUGUAAACGAUGAAUACUAAGUGUUGGAGAAAUUCAGUGCUGCAGUUAACGCAAUAAGUAUUCCGCCUGGGGAGUAUGCACGCAAGUGUGAAACUCAAAGGAAUUGACGGGACCCCGCACAAGCGGUGGAUUAUGUUGUUUAAUUCGACGCAACGCGAAGAACCUUACCAGGCCUUGACAUACUCGGCAAAGCUCUAGAGAUAGAGUGGAGGUUAUCCGGGAUACAGGUGGUGCAUGGUUGUCGUCAGCUCGUGUCGUGAGAUGUUGGGUUAAGUCCCGCAACGAGCGCAACCCUUGUCUUUAGUUACCAUCAUUCAGUUGGGCACUCUAAGGAGACUGCCGGUGUUAAACCGGAGGAAGGUGGGGAUGACGUCAAGUCCUCAUGGCCCUUAUGUCCAGGGCUACACACGUGCUACAAUGGCCGGUACAAAGGGUUGCAAUACCGUGACAUGAAGCAAAACUCACAAAGUACGUCUCAGUUCGGAUUGAAGUCUGCAACUCGACUUCAUGAAGCUGGAAUCGCUAGUAAUCGCGGAUCAGCAUGCCGCGGUGAAUACGUUCUCGGGCCUUGUACACACCGCCCGUCA